rnacentral:rRNA from 1 species
AGAGUUUGAUCCUGGCUCAGAAUCAACGCUGGCGGCGUGCCUAACACAUGCAAGUCGUACGCGAAAGUGGGCUUCGGCCCGCGAGUAGAGUGGCAAACGGGUGAGUAUCGCGUGGGUGACCUACCUUCAAGUGGGGGAUAACCUUCCGAAAGGGAGGCUAAUAUCGCAUAACAUCCCGCUCUUGGACGAGCGGUGAUCAAAGCCGGGGAUCGCAAGACCUGGUGCUUGUUGAGGGGCCCGCGUCCGAUUAUCUUGUUGGUGGGGUAAUGGCUCACCAGGGCGACGAUCGGUAUCCGGCCUGAGAGGGCGGACGGCCACUCUGGGACUGACACACGGCCCAGACUCCUACGGGAGGCAGCAGUGGGGAAUUGUUCGCAGUGGGCGCAAGCCUGACGACGCAACGCCGCGUG